rnacentral:rRNA from 1 species
UCGGGAAUUUUGGGCAAUGGGCGAAAGCCUGACCCAGCAACGCCGCAUGAGGGAUGAAGUAUUUCGGUAUGUAAACCUCGAAAGAAUGGGAAGAAUAAAUGACGGUACCAUUUAUAAGCUCCGGCUAACUACGUGCCAGCAGCCGCGGUAAUACGUAGGGAGCAAGCGUUGUUCGGAUUUACUGGGCGUAAAGGGCGCGUAGGCGGCGCGGUAAGUCACUUGUGAAAUCUCUGAGCUUAACUCAGAACGGCCAAGUGAUACUGCUGUGCUAGAGUGCGGAAGAGGCAACCGGAAUUCUUGGUGUAGCGGUGAAAUGCGUAGGUAUCAAGAGGAACACCUGAGGCGAAGGCGGGUUGCUGAGCCGACACUGACGCUGAUGCGCGAAAGCCAGGGGAGCAAACG